CAGCAGCCGCCGCGGUAAUACGGAGGGUGCAAGCGUUAUCCGGAUUUAUUGGGUUUAAAGGGUCCGUAGGCGGAUCUGUAAGUCAGUGGUGAAAUCUCACAGCUUAACUGUGAAACUGCCAUUGAUACUGCAGGUCUUGAGUAAAUUUGAAGUGGCUGGAAUAAGUAGUGUAGCGGUGAAAUGCAUAGAUAUUACUUAGAACACCAAUUGCGAAGGCAGGUCACUAAGAUUUAACUGACGCUGAUGGACGAAAGCGUGGGGAGCGAACAGGAUUAGAGACCCCUGUAGUCCCUGUCUCUUAUAC
rnacentral:rRNA from 1 species